UGCUUGUCUGCACGCAAAUUAAAAGCGCAAGCAAGCGCGUGCAAAGCUCUACUCUUCAGAGCCUCUGGUUCAGGAGAAGGGAGGAUGCCCUGGAAUGGAAUUCGCUUGGAAUGGAAUUCGCUUACCGUCUCCCUGUUUAUUUUCUCAUGGAAUUGGGGAUGGGGGGUUGUGCCAGAGCUUGUUUAGAGACGAUCUUGCACCUUCAAGUGGAUGAGGAGACGACUGCAUUUGACCCACCAGUGGCUGUAUUUCCACAGCCAGCAAUUUUCCCAGGUAGUACGGCUGAGCGGCAGGGGAGUUCUUGGAACCUGGUAGAUCCAAAGCCAAAUUCCAGUUCAACCACAGUAGAGACCUGUGAUUUUGCUCGUCUUGUUGUUUGGGGGAAUGCUAAGAAAAUAAAUAGAGGAACACAAGCCAUGGACCUGACAUCACACCAGAGAAGAAAGUCUAUACGUGGGUGUGGUGGCCUGUAUAUAGAUCUCAAAAUGACGGUGAAGACAUUCCUUGUUAAUGGAUAUAUGUAAUUUAAUGUUGACCUCUCUAAUCUUCUGCAGGAACCCUCAGGUAAGCCCUCAGAGCAAGGAGGAAAAAAACAUACAGAAAUGCUAGUUUAGAAUUCUUUAUGUGUCCUUGUGGUAGCUCACACCUACUGGGUGUGGCUGGUACCCCCAGGAAUUCAGGCAUAGGCACAUCCUUACUGCACAAGGCAUCCCUGAAACAAAAGCAUGAGAAUCUAAGCACAUGGCAGCUAGGUGGCUGCCCCAGCCAUCCCCAAACAGGUGUUAGUGCCAGCUUGCCAAAGCUUGGAUCUAACAAACCCAUCCCUGCAUUUGAAUUCUUAAAACAUAUGGCCCACUGGGUACUGACUCAGCACAGGGGAAAAGAAAAUUGGGGGUUAGGCCGUGCCAGAGUACAGACUGUUGCAUGUAAUUUUCUAGUUUGGACUGGGAAAGGUUUUUGAAUACUUUCCUCCCUGGCAUUCAGGAGGGAUCUCCAUGCCCUGCCUCCUGCUUUGGGUGCCUGAGACAGGAUCACAGUAUAGCUGUGCAUAGAUCAGGCAUUCCAGGCCUGAAGCCCUGUGCAUUUCUUCUCAGGGCUGGAAAAGAAGAAAUCAGAUGACUCUUCUAGAAAGCAGCACCAUACUGCUCCCUUAGUGUCCAUCUCCCAGAGGGCCCCGCAGUAUACCCUUGGUUCUUUACCCAGUCUGGCUUCCUCAUCUUUGCUGCCAGGGAAGGAGCCUCCUUGCCUCUAGGUUGCAAAACACGACCAUAAAAGCCAGUGGAGAACCUGGACAAGGGCCUAGAGGGAGGCCAGCAUGAUACCUCCAGGAGCUUUUGGGGACAGGAUGCCUUUGCAAGUUAGCAUCUCCACACAGGCAAUCCUGGAUGAGGUAAAAUGGGGUGAGGGACCACCCCACUCGUAGAGCCACUAGCUGGAGUUGGAAAAAAAAUCACAGGUUGGCCACUGUCACUUAGCCUAACCUACCAAGAACAGAAGGUUGGGUGAGAGCCUUUUAGAGGCGGCAACAAUAGCUUCCCGCAGUAUAGCCGAGUUUGAUGCUGUCUAAGGGGCCGUCAUAGGACAGGCACCAGUCUUGAAACUCAUUCUCACACAGCUCUGGGGGUCUGGUUGGCAGUCAAUGUGUUGCCUAAGAAAGAUGAGCAAAAGGUCAGGGUUCUGCCUCUGGGCUGGACAGAUCUGGCAGGUGGGUGAGGGACUGCUGUCCUAGAAGCCAUCACCCUGACCUGACAGACUAGAUGCUUGUUUUUGUGAUGAAGGCCCAAGCACCCCUUCAAGGCCAUGGUUUGCAGAUCAGGAAAAAAAAAGACUUGGUAAGUAAGAGAAGACAUAAUCCUGAUACUACCGCCAUGAACUGUACUGAUUGAUUUUCUCAUUUACUCCUCAUGAUCAAUAAACAUGGUUGGGAUUUUGUGUUUUUUAAAACUGAGGAAGCUCAGGCUCAGGAGUGUAUAACAGGCCUGAAGUUAUUAUUUCUAUAAAUAAGAGCAUCCAGACUUAGGCCCAUGAGUGCCAAGCUCCUGAUAACUGGUAUGCAGGACACAUGGAUUUUACUGUAAAGAGUUAGAUGACUUUGGAAGGCAUCUUCGCCUGAGCCUGGGGGUCCUGUGAAGAACUGUCGCCAUUCCAGAGGGCACCUGGGUGUCCCUCCCCAGACUCUGUGAAGCCUCCCUUAGGGACACUAACACUUGGAAUUGAUGUCUCCCUGUUUUUUGGUUUUUGCUUGUUUGUUUUUGUUUUUAU